CUCUUGGGAUAUUAUAUUCCAGGCUCUACUGAAUAUAAGAUGGCACAUUAUGUAUCAAAUUCCCAAAUUUAAUGUGCUUAGAUGCCUUCCAGGGAGAGAAUACUAUUGUCAUUUUGCCAGUAUCCAGAAUGAAAUAAAAGGAUGAAUGCCAAUUCUAGGGGAAAUAUAUUUCAAAAUGUUCAGUAUUAUUAUUUCAAAAGAGUCUCGUGAUGAUAAAGUAGAAUUCUUUGUCUUCCCACUUCGCUGAUUGGAUUCAACAUGUCAAACGUGGUCAUCCCAGCAGAAAGCUCAGCGAUCUAUCCCUUAGUGCUCUAUUAAGUUUUCGUGCUGCUGAAUGACUACAGAAGCGUGAUAUGAAUUGUGAUAUGAUCAUGAAAAGCAUGUCAACAUUUAUAGGAUAGUGUCAGAAAGAUGAAUAAAAAUCGAAGAGUUCAAUACAUUCAUGAAUUUAGAAAAGUAAAACGUCAUCUGGGAUGAACGAUUCAAACUAUGAAAUGUGGACAGAAUUUCUGACAAUUUUAUCUUUAUUUUUCUUUAUUCUUUUAAAGGAUUAUUUAACCUUUAUAUAAACCAAACAGGAUUUUUAUUUAUUAAUUGUUUCGUUGCUGACAUUUAUAGAAAUUUUAAGGCAAUAUAUCAAAGAAAUGAAUUAUUUAUAUUUAUCAAUAUAGAAGUUUUAAACCAUUUUUCAUGGUUUAUAGCAGUAAAUCUAAACUAAUAAUAAGCGCAUCACAAUUUUAUAAAGUUUUGACAAAUUAUCAGAUUGUUAUAUCUCUUCAAGAUAUAAAAGAGAAACAUAAAUUUUUUCCCAAGAAAAUAAGAUUAGAGUUGUUAAAAUA